UACCAUGCAGUCGAGCGGUAGCACAGAAGAAGCUUGCUUCUUGGGUGACGAGCGGCGGACGGGUGAGUAACGCGUGGGGAAUCUACCUGGUAGUGGGGGACAACAGUCGGAAACGACUGCUAAUACCGCAUACGCCCUUCGGGGGAAAGUGGGGGAUCUUCGGACCUCACGCUAUCAGAUGAGCCCGCGUCGGAUUACCUUGUUGGUGAGGUAAGAGCUCACCAAGGCGAUGAUCCGUAGCUGGUCUGAGAGGAUGACCAGCCACACUGGGACUGAGACACGGCCCAUACUCCUACGGGAGGCAGCAGUGGGGAAUAUUGGACAAUGGGGGCAACCCUGAUCCAGCCAUGCCGCGUGUGUGAAGAAGGCCUUCGGGUUGUAAAGCACUUUCAGCAGUGAGGAAAGGUGAGAGGCUAAUACCCUUUUGCUGUGACGUUAACUGCAAAGAAGGACCGGCUAACUCCGUGCCAGCAGCCGCGGUAAUACAGAGGGUCCGAGCGUUAAUCGGAA
rnacentral:rRNA from 1 species